AAGUCGUAACAAGGUUUCCGUAGGUGAACCUGCGGAAGGAUCAUUAACACGUAUCCACGUAUCAACUCUUCGUGCUUGUUGUUUUGGAUGUACCUGACUUGGUUUCAAUGUGUGCACGCAUUUCCGCGGCUGCUCUAGGUGAAUGGUGUUUUCUCACGAAAACGCCGGAGCAUGUCUGCGGGCUGUACCACUUACCAGUCAGGUCUUACCAUUCAAUUGAUGUUCACCAUUCAACAUCUCUUGAAUACUUCUAUGACAAACCCCUUUCAAACAUUAUACUAACGUUUUUUAGGUGAUUGUGAGUCUUCGGAUUCUAAUAUCUUCCUAAAAUUUUACGAAAUGCUAAACAACUCUUAGCAACGGAUAUCUUGGUUCUC
rnacentral:misc_RNA from 1 species